UACGUAGGGUCCGAGCGUUGUCCGGAAUUACUGGGCGUAAAGAGCUCGUAGGUGGUUUGUCGCGUUGUUCGUGAAAACUCACAACUCAAUUGUGGGCGUGCGGGCGAUACGGGCAGACUAGAGUACUGCAGGGGAGACUGGAAUUCCUGGGUGAUAGCGGUGGAAUGCGCAGAUAUCAGGAGGAACACCGGUGGCGAAGGCGGGUCUCUGGGCAGUGAACUGACGCUGGAGGAGCGAAAGCAUGGGGAGCGAACAGG
rnacentral:rRNA from 1 species